rnacentral:misc_RNA from 1 species
AGUUACUGAGCUGACAGUACUGCUAUAUAAUGCAGAGAGAGAGAGUUUUUGUAAAUCCAUCCAGAUUCUUUUCAAGAAAUAAUAUUUUUCCUCUCAUUCUCUAUUCUCUGAUCUUUCUCAAUUGUUUCUGCAUCUUCUAACUUCCUUCAAUUCUUCUCAAUUCUCUUUAAUUGCUCUAUUAUGGUUCCAAAAGCCUAGCAAAUUAUUAAAAUAACAUGUGAAAGGCCGCAUCACUAUUUCUCCUAAGAGUUUGAUGGAACAGGAUGUGAGGGUUUUGUGAGAUCAAAGUAGAAAUUCAAUGUGUUUUAAG